UUUUUUUUUUUUUUUUAAUGGUCCUUACACUGGAUUCAUUUAUCUUGAAAUGGAGGGCAACUGCAGUUGCAGACUUCAAUGUACAGUACACGUCAAAAUUCAGCUUUUUCUUCUGAUAUCAUGACUUUACUUCUUGGGAGUACUUCCAACACCACUAGUGGCACUUCGUAUGAGUCCCAUGAUGUUCGUCAAAGUUUAUGGUAUUUGCACUAAACAUGACGAAAUAUAUGUGAGAAGCCCAAGACAUCAUUUUUUACUGCAAUAUUUUACUGGAGAGAUAACUGCUCACGCUGAGAUGAUUAACAUCACACAGAGUUGCAAGUGGACACUAGGAACACUUAAGCUUACCUCGCUAGCAACAGGAGGUGGCUACAAAAAAUUACUGUAGCUAAUUUUUAUGCAGUUAUGAUUUAAUACUGCAUAUUUACAUUUGUUUAUAUUUCUCUCAACUGCAAAUGGCACCAUGUGCAAUCUGUAAGUGUAUGUGACUUUUGAUAAAUUUCAAGGUUUUAUAAAAGAUUUGUGUAUAUUUUAUGAUAGUAAAUAAUAUAAUAGACAAGAAUCUACAUAUAUUUUAUGCAUUCAUGACAUAUCUUUUUCUUAACUUUUUGGCUUCUUCUAAGCUUUACCAUUUGUUUACCAUUUGUUUGUUCAAAUUGUCGCAAAUCUCCAAAAUGUGUUAUAAUACAUUUAUUGGGAAAAAAUCAUGUAUAAGAAGGCCCAAGCAGUUCAAACCCGUGUUGUUCAGGGGUCAAAUGUACUUUUCAAUGAGGACCUACCACACGCUAGGCACUGCACAGGAGGCCUCCAUAAACUUCUCACCGCAUGCUCAAAUCAACCUUAGACCAGUUUAUGUCUAAUGCAGAGACAAUAAAACUGAGGUCCUGAGUAAUUUGCCAAGUCACACACACUAGUAGGUGAUGGGAAGGAGACUGGAGCAUAUACCUAUGCACAGCACAGAGCCUCUCUGCAGGUGGGAAGACUAUGCUCAUGCACCACAUUAAAUUUUUGUACUUUCUGGUAUCCCUUUGCUCCCUGCAGUAGGCUGAAAAAGGUCCUCCAAGAAUAUCAGGUCCUAAUCUCUGGAUACAGUAAAUGUCACUUUAUAAGAAAAAGAAUCUUGGCAGAUGUGAUUAAGCAAAGGAUCUUGAGGUAGAGAAGUUAUCCUGGAUUAUCAGAGUAGGCCCUAGAUUUCAUCAGAUACAUUCUCAGAAGAGGGAGGCAGAGGAAGAUUUGACACACAGAGAGGAUGAUAUGGUCUGAAUUUUUGUGUCCUUCAAAUUUGUAUGUUGGAAACCUAGUCACUAAUGUGAUGGUAUUAGGUGUGGCCUUUGGGAAGUGAUUGCAUCAUGAGAGUACAGCCCUCAUGGGGUUUGUGUCCUUAUAAAUGAGGUCCCAGAGAGCUGCCUUGCCCCUUCCACCAUGUGAGGACACAGCGAGAAGUCAGCAGUUUGCAACCUGAAAGCUGGCCAUCACCAGACACCCAAUCUGCUAAUACCU
rnacentral:lncRNA from 1 species